UGCCAGCCGCCGCGGUAAUACGGGGGUCCCAAGCGUUGUUCGGAUUUACUGGGCGUAAAGGGUGCGUAGGUGGCCAGGAUAGUCUGGUGUGAAAGCUUCGGGCUCAACCCGAAAAAUGCACUGGAUACUACUUGGCUAGAGGAUCGGAGAGGAGACUGGAAUUCCUGGUGUAGCAGUGAAAUGCGUAGAUAUCAGGAGGAACACCAAUGGCGAAGGCAAGUCUCUGGACGACACCUGACACUGAGGCACGAAGGCUAGGGGAGCGAACAGGAUUAGAUA
rnacentral:rRNA from 1 species